rnacentral:rRNA from 1 species
CUUCAUCGUCAAGAGGGAAACAGCCCAGACCACCAGUUAAGGUCCCCAAAUCAUCGCUAAGUGAUAAAGGAGGUGGGAGUGCACAGACAACUAGGAGGUUUGCCUAGAAGCAGCCACCCUUGAAAGAGUGCGUAAUAGCUCACUAGUCAAGCGCUCCUGCGCCGAAAAUGAACGGGGCUAAGCGAUGUACCGAAACUGUGGACUUACAUUGUAAGUGGUAGGGGAGCGUUCCGUAGUAGGUUGAAGCAGUAGCGGCAAGCAGCUGUGGACGAGACGGAAGUGAGAAUGUCGGCUUGAGUAGCGCAAACAUUGGUGAGAAUCCAAUGCCCCGAAACCCUAAGGGUUCCAGAGCCAGGUUCGUCCGCUCUGGGUGAGUCGGGUCCUAAGGCGAGGCCGAACGGCGUAGUCGAUGGACACAGGGUGAAUAUUCCCUGACUAUAAUGUGGGAGCAUUGCUAGGGACGCAUGAAAAAUAGCCAUACCCUGAUUGGUUUGGGAGGAGUUUACGAACUCCGCAUGGUGAAAGAUAGUGCCAAGAAAAGCU